rnacentral:lncRNA from 1 species
GCAGACUUCCCUCUUCUUCUCACUGGCCAAAAUCAAGUCACAUGACCAUCCCUGAUCCAUCUCUUGCACAGGGGAACAGGAUUGCUAUGAUUGGCUGUGACCAGUCAUGAGUCAUCUCUUUGCUCAGAGAGCAGCACAACUGACCGGAUACUCACCCUCUUUGAGUUUCUGGGGGUGGUGAGGCCCAUCUCCAGUCUUGGGAGCAGUCUGUGUGGAGGGCCUUCUCUGGGCCAGGCCUUGUGCAGAUGAAGGAAAACAGUCCCCACCUUCAAAUGCACGCAGGAGGCAGGAAGGAGCCACUACACGGUCUGCAGGCUGGCCUUGAGGCCUGAAUGAAACAGGACAUGGAGAGCACUCGGCACGGAAACUGUAGUUCGGAAUUCAACAAACGGGAGCUAAGCACUGGAAUCAAACACGUCACGACAGGACAGGAUCUGGCCCGCCUCUAAUUCUCAGCAAGUGCAAGGUCUUUCUCUGUGAUCUGUUCUUCUGCCCAGAAAUUAGC